ACACUCAUCUGGCAAGGGAGAGACACUUUGAUCAUUAAGGAGGUUUUUCUGUGGUGAGGGCCAUCCCUUACACUCCAAAGGUGCUGACCCCUGGAUUUCCCCAAAUGUGGGAAAUAUGACCAAUAUUUUCC
rnacentral:snRNA from 1 species